UGGAUAACCGUGGCAAUUCUACAGCUAAUACAUGCUUCAAAACCUGACUUCGGAAGGGUUGUAUUUAUUAGAUAUUAAACCAUCCCCUCGGGGCUGUGAUGAAUCAUAAUAACUGAUCGAAUCGAGGUUCGCCUUGAUAAAUCAUUCAAGUUUCUGCCCUAUCAGCUGUAGAUGGUAGUGUAUUGGACUACCAUGGCUAUUACGGGUAACGGAGAAUUAGGGUUCGAUUCCGGAGAGGGGAGCCUGAGAAACGGCUACCACAUCUACGGAUGGCAGCAGGCGCGAAAAUUGCCCAAUCCCGAUUCGGGGAGGCAGUGACAAGAAAUAACAACCCAGAACAUUGUUUCCGGGAUUGCAAUGAGAACAAUUUAAAAACCUAUCGAGUACCAACUGGAGGGCAAGUUCUGGUGCCAGCAGCCGCGGUAAUUCCAGCUCCACGUAGCGUAUAUUAAAGUUGCUGCAGUUAAAAAGCUCGUAGUUGAAUUUCU
rnacentral:rRNA from 1 species